rnacentral:rRNA from 1 species
GUGAGGAAUAUUGGUCAAUGGCCGAGAGGCUGAACCAGCCAAGUCGCGUGAAGGAAGAAGGAUCUAUGGUUUGUAAACUUCUUUUAUAGGGGAAUAAAGUGGAGGACGUGUCCUUUUUUGUAUGUACCCUAUGAAUAAGCAUCGGCUAACUCCGUGCCAGCAGCCGCGGUAAUACGGAGGAUGCGAGCGUUAUCCGGAUUUAUUGGGUUUAAAGGGUGCGUAGGUGGUGAUUUAAGUCAGCGGUGAAAGUUUGUGGCUCAACCAUAAAAUUGCCGUUGAAACUGGGUUACUUGAGUGUGUUUGAGGUAGGCGGAAUGCGUGGUGUAGCGGUGAAAUGCAUAGAUAUCACGCAGAACUCCGAUUGCGAAGGCAGCUUACUAAACCAUAACUGACACUGAAGCACGAAAGCGUGGGGAUCAAACAGGAUUAGAAACCCCAGUAGUCCU